rnacentral:rRNA from 1 species
UUGAACGCUGGCGGCGUGGCUAAAGCAUGCAAGUCGCACGUGCCCGCAAGGGCAAGUGGCGGACGGGUCAGUAAUACGAUCGAACGUACCCUGAGGUGGGGGAUAGCGGCGGGAAACUGCCGGUAAUACUCCGUGAUCUCUCCGGAGCAAAGGCCACCCUUAAAAGUGGCCGCCUUUGGAUCGGCGAUCGUCCUAUCAGCUAGUUGGCGGGGUAACGGCCCACCAAGGCGAUGACGGGUAGCGGGUGUGAGAGCACGGCCCGCGACAUCGGGACUGAGACACUGCCCGGACUCCUACGGGAGGCUGCAGCGACGAAUCUUCCGCAAUGGGCGCAAGCCUGACGGAGCGACGCCGCGUGUGGGAUGAAGCGCCUACGGCGUGUAAACCACUGUCAGGGGGCGGAACCAAUGAUCGCCCCCAAAGGAAGAGACGGCUAACCCUGU